AGAGUUUGAUCAUGGCUCAGAACGUACGCUGGCGGCACGCUUAACACAUGCAAGUCGAACGAAGUAGCAAUACUUAGUGGCAGACGGGUGAGUAACAUGUAGGUAUCUUCCCUUUGGCCUGGAAUAACACGAGGAAACUUGUGCUAAUACCGGAUAAGUCUUUACAGAGAAAGCUUUAUGCACCAUUGGAUGAGCCUGCACUUGAUUAGUUUGUUGGUAGGGUAAUGGCCUACCAAGACUGUGAUCAAUAGCUGAUUUGAGAGGAUGAUCAGCCACAUUGGGACUGAGACACGGCCCAAACUCCUACGGGAGGCAGCAGUGGGGAAUCUUGCACAAUGGAGGAAACUCUGAUGCAGCGAUGCCGCGUGAGUGAAGAAGGCCUUUGGGUUGUAAAGCUCUUUCGUCGGGGAAGAAAAUGACUGUACCCGAAUAAGAAGGUCCGGCUAACUUCGUGCCAGCAGCCGCGGUAAUACGAAGGGACCUAGCGUAGUUCGGAAUUACUGGGCUUAAAGAGUUCGUAGGUGGUUGAAAAAGUUGGUGGUGAAAUCCCAGAGCUUAACUCUGGAACUGCCAUCAAAACUUUUCAGCUAGAGUUUGAUAGAGGAAAGCAGAAUUUCUAGUGUAGAGGUGAAAUUCGUAGAUAUUAGAAAGAAUACCAAUUGCGAAGGCAGCUUUCUGGAUCAAUACUGACACUGAGGAACGAAAGCAUGGGUAGCGAAGAGGAUUAGAUACCCUCGUAGUCCAUGCCGUAAACGAUGUGUGUUAGACGUUGGAAAUUUAUUUUCAGUGUCGCAGCGAAAGCGAUAAACACACCGCCUGGGGAGUACGACCGCAAGGUUAAAACUCAAAUGAAUUGACGGGGACCCGCACAAGUAGUGGAGCAUGUGGUUUAAUUCGAAGAUACGCGCAGAACCUUACCAACACUUGACAUGUUCGUCGCGACUUUAAGAGAUUAAAGUUUUCGGUUCGGCCGGACGAAACACAGGUGCUGCAUGGCUGUCGUCAGCUCGUGUCGUGAGAUGUUGGGUUAAGUCCCGCAACGAGCGCAACCCUCACUUUUAGUUGCCAUCAUUUAGUUGGGCACUCUGAAAGAACUGCCAGUGAUAAGCUGGAGGAAGGUGGGGAUGACGUCAAGUCCUCAUGGCCCUUACGUGUUGGGCUACACACGUGCUACAAUGGUAUCUACAACAGGAAGCAAAACGGCGACGUUAAGCAAAUCCUCAAAAGAUACCUCAGUUCGGAUUGCACUCUGCAACUCGAGUGCAUGAAGCUGGAAUUACUAGUAAUCGUGGAUCAGCGUGCCACGGUGAAUGCGUUCCCGGGUCUUGUACACACCGCCCGUCACACCAUGGGAGUUGGUUCUACCUUAAGGCAAGGUUUAAAACCCUUGACCACGGUAUAGUCAGCGACUGGGGUGAAGUCAUAACAAGGUAGCCGUA
rnacentral:rRNA from 1 species